rnacentral:rRNA from 1 species
UGGCGGGACGGGGUGGAGUAAUGUCUGGGAAACUGCCUGAUGGAGGGGGGUAACUACUGGAAACGGUAGCUAAUACCGCAUAACGUCGCAAGACCAAAGAGGGGGACCGUUCGGGCCUCUUGCCAUCGGAUGUGCCCAGAUGGGAUUAGCUAGUAGGUGGGGUAACGGCUCACCUAGGCGACGAUCCCUAGCUGGUCUGAGAGGAUGACCAGCCACACUGGAACUGAGACACGGUCCAG